CCUACGGGAGGCAGCAGUGGGGAAUAUUGGGCAAUGGGCGCAAGCCUGACCCAGCAACGCCGCGUGAAGGAAGAAGGCUUUCGGGUUGUAAACUUCUUUUCUCAGGGACGAAGGAAGUGACUUUACCUGAGGAAUAAGCCACGGCUAACUACGUGCCAGCAGCCGCGGUAAUACGUAGGUGGCAAGCGUUAUCCGGAGUUAUUGGGUGUAAAGGGCGUGUAGGCGGGGGCGCAAGUAAAAUGUGAAAACUCAGGGCUCAACCCUGAGCCUGCAUUUGAAACUGUGGUUCUUGAGUGCUGGAGAGGGAAUCAGAAUUCCGGGUGGAGCGGUGAAAUGCGUAGAGAUACGGAGGAACACCAGUGGCGAAGGCGGAUUGCUGGACAGUAACUGACGCUGAGGCGCGAAAGCGUGGGGAGCAAACAGGAUUAGAUACCCCUGUAGUC
rnacentral:rRNA from 1 species